GCCGGGAUGGCGGAAUUGGCAGACGCGUAAGAUUCAGGAUCUUAUGAGCUCAGGCUUGUGCGGGUUCAAGUCCCGCUUCCGGCACCA
rnacentral:tRNA from 1 species